GUCCAUUUUUGUGCAUUUUGGGUCGAUUUUUAUGGAUUUUGGGUCUAUUUCUGUCAUUCUGGGUCCAUUUCUGUGGAUUCCGGUGCCGUUUCUCCAUCUGGGGCCGUUUUUGGGUCGUUUUUGGCCAUUUUUGGGUCAUUUUUGGCCGUUUUUGGGCUGGUCUUGGGUCAUUUUUGGGCUGUUUUGGGCUGUUUUUGGGCAGGUUGGGCUGGUCUUGGGUCAUUUUUGGGCUGUUUUGGGCUGUUUUUGGGCAGGUUUUGUGUCUUUUUUGUCCAUUUUUGUCCGUUUCUGUCCAUUUUUGUGUCUUCUUUGUCCAUUUUUGCGUCGCUUCUGUCCAUUUCCGUGCGGUUUUGGGCCGUUUUUGGGUCAUUCUGGGUCAUUUUUGGGUCAUUUCUGUCCAUUUUUGUGUCGUUUCUGUCCAUUUUUGUCCAUUUUUGCCCGUUCCCGUGCGGUUUCCGCCCGUUUCUGUCCGUUUUUGUGUCGUUUCUGUCCAUUUUUGUCCGUUUUGUCCCGUUUUUCUCCCGUUUUUCCCCCUUUCCCGUGUGUUUUUGUGUCGUUUCUGUCUAUUUCUGUCCAUUUUUGUCCUGUUUUUGUCCAUUUCCAUGCGGUUUUUGCCCGUUUCCGUGCGUUUUUGUGUCGUUUCUGUCCAUUUCUGUCCAUUUCUGUCCAUUUUUGUCCGUUUUUGUCCCGUUUUUGCCCGUUUUUGCCCGUUCCCGUGCGUUUUUCCGCCGGUUCCCGUGGGUUUCGGUGUCGUUUUUGCCCGUUUUUCUCCCGUUUUUGCCCGUUUCCGUGCGUUUUUGUGUGUUUUUGCCCGUUUUUGCCCGUUCCCGUGCGUUUUCGUCUCAGAAGAAGAGCCCUCGCAUGCGGCGCCCGAUGCCCUGCCGGUCGUAGAGCACGUUGAAUUUGUUGACGAACUGGUUCAUGGUGUUGCAGGUUUUGGUGAUGGUGCCCAGGUACGCCAUCAGCCCCACGUCGUUGCAUUGCUGCCAAAAAAAACACCCGAAUUUGGGGUUUUUCCGAAAAAAUGGGGAGUUUUGGGGGGUUUUUACUAAAAAAUCUGGGGUUUUUUGUGGAAAAAUUUGGGGUUUUUCCUAAAAAAUUUGGGGUUUUUUGUGGAAAAACUUGGUAUUUUUGGGGGGUUUUUACUAAAAAUUCGGGAAUUUUUUGGGUUUUUCCUAAAAAUUUAAGGGUGUUUGAGAAAAAAUUUGGGAAUUUUUGGGGGUUUUUCCCCCAAAAUUUGGGAUUUUUGGGGUUUUUUACUAAAAAUUUGGGAUUUUUUGGGGGUUUUCCUAAAAAAUUUGGGGUUUUGUGGAAAAAUUUGGGGUUUUUUGGGGUUUUUACUAAAAAUUUGGGAAUUUUUUGGGUUUUUCCUAAAAAAUUUGGGGUUUUUUGUGGAAAAACUUGGUAUUUUUGGGGGGUUUUUACUAAAAAUUCGGGAAUUUUUUGGGUUUUUCCUAAAAAUUUAAGGGUGUUUGAGAAAAAAUUUGGGAAUUUUUGGGGGUUUUUCCCCCAAAAUUUGGGAUUUUUGGGGUUUUUUACUAAAAAUUUGGGAUUUUUUGGGGUUUUUACUAAAAAAUUUGGGGUUUUUUGUGGAAAAAUUUGGGAUUUUUGGGGGUUUUUCCCCAGAAAGUUGGGAUUUUUUGGGGGUUUUCCUAAAAAAUUUGGGGUUUUGUGGAAAAAUUUGGGGUUUUUUGGGGUUUUUACUAAAAAUUUGGGAAUUUUUUGGGUUUUUACUAAAAAAUUUGGGGUUUUUUUUGGAAAUAUUUGGGAUUUUUUGGGGGGUUUUUACUAAAAAUUUGGGAAUUUUUUGGGUUUUUCCUAAAAAAUUUGGGGUUUUUUUGUGGAAAAAUUCGGGAUUUUUUGGGGGGUUUUUACUAAAAAUUCGGGAAUUUUUUUGGUUU
ensembl:lncRNA